UUAAGCGACUAAGCGUACACGGUGGAUGCCCUGGCAGUCAGAGGCGAUGAAGGACGUGCUAAUCUGCGAUAAGCGUCGGUAAGGUGAUAUGAACCGUUAUAACCGGCGAUUUCCGAAUGGGGAAACCCAGUGUGAUUCGUCACACUAUCAUUAACUGAAUCCAUAGGUUAAUGAGGCGAACCGGGGGAACUGAAACAUCUAAGUACCCCGAGGAAAAGAAAUCAACCGAGAUUCCCCCAGUAGCGGCGAGCGAACGGGGAGCAGCCCAGAGCCUGAAUCAGUGUGUGUGUUAGUGGAAGCGUCUGGAAAGGCGCGCGAUACAGGGUGACAGCCCCGUACACAAAAAUGCACAUGCUGUGAGCUCGAUGAGUAGGGCGGGACACGUGGUAUCCUGUCUGAAUAUGGGGGGACCAUCCUCCAAGGCUAAAUACUCCUGACUGACCGAUAGUGAACCAGUACCGUGAGGGAAAGGCGAAAAGAACCCCGGCGAGGGGAGUGAAAAAGAACCUGAAACCGUGUACGUACAAGCAGUGGGAGCACGCUUAGGCGUGUGACUGCGUACCUUUUGUAUAAUGGGUCAGCGACUUAUAUUCUGUAGCAAGGUUAACCGAAUAGGGGAGCCGAAGGGAAACCGAGUCUUAACUGGGCGUUAAGUUGCAGGGUAUAGACCCGAAACCCGGUGAUCUAGCCAUGGGCAGGUUGAAGGUUGGGUAACACUAACUGGAGGACCGAACCGACUAAUGUUGAAAAAUUAGCGGAUGACUUGUGGCUGGGGGUGAAAGGCCAAUCAAACCGGGAGAUAGCUGGUUCUCCCCGAAAGCUAUUUAGGUAGCGCCUCGUGAAUUCAUCUCCGGGGGUAGAGCACUGUUUCGGCAAGGGGGUCAUCCCGACUUACCAACCCGAUGCAAACUGCGAAUACCGGAGAAUGUUAUCACGGGAGACACACGGCGGGUGCUAACGUCCGUCGUGAAGAGGGAAACAACCCAGACCGCCAGCUAAGGUCCCAAAGUCAUGGUUAAGUGGGAAACGAUGUGGGAAGGCCCAGACAGCCAGGAUGUUGGCUUAGAAGCAGCCAUCAUUUAAAGAAAGCGUAAUAGCUCACUGGUCGAGUCGGCCUGCGCGGAAGAUGUAACGGGGCUAAACCAUGCACCGAAGCUGCGGCAGCGACGCUUAUGCGUUGUUGGGUAGGGGAGCGUUCUGUAAGCCUGUGAAGGUGUACUGUGAGGUAUGCUGGAGGUAUCAGAAGUGCGAAUGCUGACAUAAGUAACGAUAAAGCGGGUGAAAAGCCCGCUCGCCGGAAGACCAAGGGUUCCUGUCCAACGUUAAUCGGGGCAGGGUGAGUCGACCCCUAAGGCGAGGCCGAAAGGCGUAGUCGAUGGGAAACAGGUUAAUAUUCCUGUACUUGGUGUUACUGCGAAGGGGGGACGGAGAAGGCUAUGUUGGCCGGGCGACGGUUGUCCCGGUUUAAGCGUGUAGGCUGGUUUUCCAGGCAAAUCCGGAAAAUCAAGGCUGAGGCGUGAUGACGAGGCACUACGGUGCUGAAGCAACAAAUGCCCUGCUUCCAGGAAAAGCCUCUAAGCAUCAGGUAACAUCAAAUCGUACCCCAAACCGACACAGGUGGUCAGGUAGAGAAUACCAAGGCGCUUGAGAGAACUCGGGUGAAGGAACUAGGCAAAAUGGUGCCGUAACUUCGGGAGAAGGCACGCUGAUAUGUAGGUGAAGUCCCUCGCGGAUGGAGCUGAAAUCAGUCGAAGAUACCAGCUGGCUGCAACUGUUUAUUAAAAACACAGCACUGUGCAAACACGAAAGUGGACGUAUACGGUGUGACGCCUGCCCGGUGCCGGAAGGUUAAUUGAUGGGGUUAGCGCAAGCGAAGCUCUUGAUCGAAGCCCCGGUAAACGGCGGCCGUAACUAUAACGGUCCUAAGGUAGCGAAAUUCCUUGUCGGGUAAGUUCCGACCUGCACGAAUGGCGUAAUGAUGGCCAGGCUGUCUCCACCCGAGACUCAGUGAAAUUGAACUCGCUGUGAAGAUGCAGUGUACCCGCGGCAAGACGGAAAGACCCCGUGAACCUUUACUAUAGCUUGACACUGAACAUUGAGCCUUGAUGUGUAGGAUAGGUGGGAGGCUUUGAAGUGUGGACGCCAGUCUGCAUGGAGCCGACCUUGAAAUACCACCCUUUAAUGUUUGAUGUUCUAACGUUGACCCGUAAUCCGGGUUGCGGACAGUGUCUGGUGGGUAGUUUGACUGGGGCGGUCUCCUCCUAAAGAGUAACGGAGGAGCACGAAGGUUGGCUAAUCCUGGUCGGACAUCAGGAGGUUAGUGCAAUGGCAUAAGCCAGCUUGACUGCGAGCGUGACGGCGCGAGCAGGUGCGAAAGCAGGUCAUAGUGAUCCGGUGGUUCUGAAUGGAAGGGCCAUCGCUCAACGGAUAAAAGGUACUCCGGGGAUAACAGGCUGAUACCGCCCAAGAGUUCAUAUCGACGGCGGUGUUUGGCACCUCGAUGUCGGCUCAUCACAUCCUGGGGCUGAAGUAGGUCCCAAGGGUAUGGCUGUUCGCCAUUUAAAGUGGUACGCGAGCUGGGUUUAGAACGUCGUGAGACAGUUCGGUCCCUAUCUGCCGUGGGCGCUGGAGAACUGAGGGGGGCUGCUCCUAGUACGAGAGGACCGGAGUGGACGCAUCACUGGUGUUCGGGUUGUCAUGCCAAUGGCACUGCCCGGUAGCUAAAUGCGGAAGAGAUAAGUGCUGAAAGCAUCUAAGCACGAAACUUGCCCCGAGAUGAGUUCUCCCUGACCCUUUAAGGGUCCUGAAGGAACGUUGAAGACGACGACGUUGAUAGGCCGGGUGUGUAAGCGCAGCGAUGCGUUGAGCUAACCGGUACUAAUGAACCGUGAGGCUUAACCUU
rnacentral:rRNA from 2 species